UGGGGAAUAUUGCACAAUGGGGGAAACCCUGAUGCAGCGACGCCGCGUGAACGAAGAAGGUAUUCGUAUCGUAAAGUUCUAUCCUAUGGGAAGAUAAUGACAGUACCAUAGAAGAAAGCUCCGGCUAAAUACGUGCCAGCAGCCGCGGUAAUACGUAUGGAGCGAGCGUUGUCCGGAAUUAUUGGGCGUAAAGGGUACGCAGGCGGUUUAAUAAGUCGAAUGUUAAAGAUCGGGGCUCAACCCCGUAAAGCAUUGGAAACUGAUAAACUUGAGUAGUGGAGAGGAAAGUGGAAUUCCUAGUGUAGUGGUGAAAUACGUAGAUAUUAGGAGGAAUACCAGUAGCGAAGGCGACGUUCUGGACACAAACUGACGCUGAGGUACGAAAGCGUGGGGAGCAAACAGG
rnacentral:rRNA from 1 species